UCUGAAUUGUGAAUGGGGAGACA
rnacentral:piRNA from 1 species